rnacentral:lncRNA from 1 species
CCUGGCCGACUGCAGCUCCGACUCCGACGAUGCCAAGGCUCCCUUGAGUCGGGAGACCUCCUCCGUAAGUCGGGAGACCUCCCCCUCAAGUCGGCCCUCCCGGUCGGUCGACUGUUGCAGCUGGUCGACCAAGAUGACUUUGUCGGCUUCAAGGCCCGCGACCUUGUCUCUCCAGGCCGCGCGCAUGUCGCCGAACUUUCUGUAUCCAGCCUCUAGCUCGGAUAUGUUGAAGACCAGCUGCACAGAAUAAAAACCGACUGUUAAGGGACCAAACUUACGGAAGCUGCAUUAAAAAGCAAGGGAAAGGGGAGCUUACCCGAAUCAUCAUCGGAUAAAAUGAAGACAGCAUGUCAGACACACGCUGGUUCUUCAUUGCAUCGAUGUCGGCAGGAAGGAGGAGCGCC